GGGGUAGUAGCUCAGAAUUGGUUAGAGUGUCGGCCUGUCACGCCGAAGGUCGCGGGUUCGAGUCCCGUCUACCCCGCCA
rnacentral:tRNA from 1 species